rfam:Aedes albopictus isolate Foshan contig52876, whole genome shotgun sequence.
GAUAGCCUUGUGGUUAGGGCUAUGGAUCGCCAAUCCGGAGACGGCGGGUUCAAUUCCCGUUC